rnacentral:rRNA from 1 species
GACGAGCGCUGGCGGCGUGCUUAACACAUGCAAGUCGAACGGUGAAGGGGUCUGCUUUUGUGGGCCCUGGAUGAGUGGCGAACGGGUGAGUAACACGUGAGUAACCUGCCCCCUUCUUCUGGAUAACCGCAUGAAAGUGUGGCUAAUACGGGAUAUUCUGGGUCUGUCGCAUGAUGGGUCUGGGAAAGAUUGCGCCUUUGGGUGUUUUUGGUGGGGGAUGGGCUCGCCGCCUAUCAGCUUGUUGGUGGGGUGAUGGCCUACCAAGGCGGUGACGGGUAGCCGGCCUGAGGGGGUGGACGGUCACACUGGGACUGAGACACGGCCCAGACUCCUACGGGAGGCAGCAGUGGGGAAUAUUGCACAAUGGGCGCAAGCCUGAUGCAGCGACGCCGCGUGAGGGAUGGAGGCCUUCGGGUUGUAAACCUCUUUCGCCAGUGAAGCAGGCCUGCUCCUUGUGGGUGGGUUGACGGUAGCUGGAGAAGAAGCGCCGGCUAACUACGUG